GCUUUCGUGGUGCAGUGGUCAACACUCUCGACGUGUAAUCGAGAGGUCCGUGGUUCGAGUCUCGGAGAGGGCA
rnacentral:tRNA from 1 species